CCAGGCCCUACGGGGCGCAGCAGGCGCGAAAACUUCGCAAUGCAGGAAACUGUGACGAGGGAACUCCAAGUGUCCAUGCAUUGUAUGGACUGUUUGCCAGCCUAAAAAGCUGGUAGAGUAAGGGGUGGGAAAGACCGGUGCCAGCCGCCGCGGUAACACCGGCACCUCAAGUGGUAGCCACUAUUAUUGGGCCUAAAGCGUUCGUAGCCGGCUUGGUUAAUUCCUGGGUAAAUCGUACCGCUCAACGGUGCGGAUUCCGGGGACACUGCCAGGCUUGAGACCGGGGGAGAUCAGAGGUACUUGCGGGGGAGCGGUGAAAUGUUGUAAUCCCGCAGGGACCACCAAUGGCGAAGGCAUCCGAUCAAAACGGCUCUGACGGUGAGGGACGAAACCCUGGGGCGCAAACGGGAUUAGAUACCCCGGUAGUCCAGGGCGUAAACGCUGCUGACUUGGUGUUGGGGGCCCUGCGAGGGCGUCCAGUGCCCGGCACGAAAGUAUUGAGUCAGCCGCCUGGGGAGUACGGUCGCAAGACUGAAACUUAAAGGAAAUUGGCGGGGGGAGCACUGCAAACGGGUGGAGCGUGCGGGUUUAAUUUGGGAUUC
rnacentral:rRNA from 1 species